rnacentral:rRNA from 1 species
GAUGAACGUUGGCGGCGUGCCUAAUACAUGCAAGUCGAACGGAGAUUGUAGCAAUACGGUCUCAGUGGCGAACGGGUGAGUAACGCGUUGGUGACCUGCCCCGAAGUGUGGAAUAACAGAUCGAAAGAGCUGCUAAUACCGCAUAAUAUCCAGAGGACUAGAUGCCUUUGGAUUAAAGGAUUUAUUCGCUUCGGGAGGGGCCUGCGUCCCAUCAGCUAGUUGGUAAGGUAAAGGCUUACCAAGGCUAUGACGGGUAGGGGACCUGAGAGGGUGGCCCCCACAAUGGAACUGAAACACGGUCCAUACACCUACGGGUGGCAGCAGUAGGGAAUAUUAGUAAUGGGCGAAAGCCUGAACUAGCAACGCCGCGUGUGCGAAGAAGGCCUUCGGGUUGUAAAGCACUUUUUGUAGAGGAUGAGGAAGGACGGUACGUCUCAGAAUAAGUACUCGGUCUAACUACGUG